rnacentral:rRNA from 1 species
UACGUAGGGGGCAAGCGUUGUCCGGAAUCAUUGGGCGUAAAGCGCGCGUAGGCGGUCAGGUAAGUCCGGUGUGAAAGUCAAAGGCUCAACCCUGGGAUGCCGGUCGAUACUGCCGGACUAGAGUUCGGAAGAGGCGAGUGGAAUUCCCGGUGUAGCGGUGAAAUGCGCAGAUAUCGGGAGGAACACCUAUGGCGAAGGCAGCUCGCUGGGACGUUACUGACGCUGAGACGCGAAAGCGUGGGGAGCAAACAGG